GACGAACGCUGGCGGCGUGCUUAACACAUGCAAGUCGAACGGAAAGGCCCUGCUUUUGUGGGGUGCUCGAGUGGCGAACGGGUGAGUAACACGUGAGUAACCUGCCCUUGACUUUGUGAUAACUUCAGGAAACUGGGGCUAAUACCGGCUAGGAGCGCCUGCUGCAUGGUGGGGGUUGGAAAGUUUCGGCGGGUGGGGAUAGACUCGCGGCUUAUCAGCUUGUUGGUGGGGUAGUGGCUUACCAAGGCUUCGACGGGUAGCCGGCCUGAGAGGGUGACCAGGGACCAUGGGACUGAGAUACGGCCCAGACGCCAACGGGAGGCAGCAGUGGGGAGUAUUGCACAAUGGGCGGGAGCCUGAUGAAGAAACGCCGCGUGCGGGAUGACGGCCUUCGGGUUGUAAACCGCUUUCGCCUGUGACGAAGCGUGAGUGACGGUAAUGGGUAAAGAAGCACCGGCUAACUACGUG
rnacentral:rRNA from 1 species